AGGAGAAUUGCCUGAACCCAGGAGGCGGAGGAGGCGGAGGAGGAGGAGGAGAAAGGAAUUCUCAACCUCGGACCAAUCGCUGGCUCCAGGGUUAGGACUGAGAACAAAUACACUCAAGGCCUGCCCCUGAAUGGCAGUGGGACAACUUGGAAAACUAAUGAUUUAGUGUCAAGUC